GUCGUACUUGCAGGAAAGGUGGUGGAGUUGCUGCCAUUUUUAAAUCAAUAUUUCAGUGCAAAGAAAUAACAUUUGGUGAUUUUAUCUCCUUUGAAUAUAUGUCAUUCUUACUGAAGGGUGAUUCAAGAGUUCUGUUUUUAGUCGUUUAUAGACCCCCAAAAUAUUCUGGAGAAUUCAUGGAUGAGUUCGCUGAACUGCUGUCAGUUGUAUGCACUGAAUACAACUUUUUAAUAAUAACAGGUGACUUAAAUAUUCAUGUAGACAAUAACAUGGACAAUACUUCCAAAGAACUGUAUGCUUUAAUGGAUACUUUUGGUCUUACACAACAUGUGACUGGUCCGACACACACUCAAGGUCACACUUUGGAUCUGGUUAUCUCUAAAGGUGUUGAUAUCUCUGCUGUUGAUGUAAGAGACUUAGCUCUAUCUGAUCAUUUCUGUGUCUUUUUUGACCUAGAGACUGUAACAUCUGUUCCCCCUAGUUAUGUGUGUUUAAAGAAAAGGUACAUAAAUGAGAACACAAGUGCACAGUUUAUGGAAGCCAUAGCAAUGACACCAACAUUGAGUGCUGAGACAGUUGAUGAUCUUCUGGAUGAGUAUAAUAGAAACGUCUGUAAUGUCAUAGAUGUGGUGGCUCCAAUCAAAACUAAGAGAAAACCAAACACACAGAAAACACCUUGGAGGAGGACUGAGAUAAUGCAGAAUUUGAAAUCUGACUGUAGAAGAGCUGAGCGUAAAUGGAGAUCAACAAAACUCCAAAUUCAUCUAGAACUAUACAAAAUAAGUCUGCGAAAAUUCAAUGAUGGCUUGUUCAAAGCAAGGCAGCAAUACUUUUCUGAAAUUAUUGCCAAAAAUGUCAACAACUCUCGCACGUUGUUUUCUGUAAUUGAAAAGCUCACAACCCCCCCAGAUCAGAUAGCCCCUGAAUUACUGUCAGCUGGAAAAUGCAAUGAAUUUGCUGUAUAUUUCAAUGAAAAAAUACAAUCAAUAAGGUCAAACAUCAGAACAAACCAGCAAAAUCACAAAAAGCUUGAACAGCUUCAACCACUGAGGGAUGAGUCAAUUACAAUGUUAGAGUUUAUUACAGUGAACCCAAAAACAAUAGAGGAAACUGUUCAGCAGCUGAAUCCAUCAACGUGUUGCCUUGACACAAUACCCUCAAACUUCUUUAAAACUGUUGUAAAGUCAAUUGUCACUGAUCUGUGUCAGAUAAUUAACUGCUCAUUCCAAUCAGGCACCGUACCAAAAUCCCUGAAAGUAGCUGCUGUGAAACCGCUGUUAAAAAAGAGAACACUGGAUGCCU
ensembl:lncRNA